rnacentral:rRNA from 1 species
AGCGAACGCUGGCGGCAGGCUUAACACAUGCAAGUCGAACGGGCAUAGCAAUAUGUCAGUGGCAGACGGGUGAGUAACGCGUGGGAACGUACCUUUUGGUUCGGAACAACACAGGGAAACUUGUGCUAAUACCGGAUAAGACCUUACGGGGAAAGAUUUAUCGCCGAAAGAUCGGCGCGCGUCUGAUUAGCUAGUUGGUAGGGGAAUGGCCUACCAAGGCGACGAUCAGUAGCUGGUCUGAGAGGAUGAUCAGCCACAUUGGGACUGAGACACGGCCCAAACUCCUACGGAAGGCAGCAGUGGUGAGUAUUGGACAAUGGGCGAAAGCCUGAUCCAGCCAUGCCGCGUGAGUGAUGAAGGCCCUAGGGUUGUAAAGCUCUUUUGUGCGGGAAGAUAAUGACGGUACCGCAAGAAUAAGCCCCGGCUAACUUCGUG